UAAUAAUAACAAUAAUUGAGGGUAUAAACCCAAAAUAAGUACAAUACCUCUGAAUAAAUAAUGUACUCCAUACAACAACAUGUAAGGGUGGUGCUCCAGC